rnacentral:rRNA from 1 species
AGAGUUUGAUCCUGGCUCAGAGCGAACGCUGGCGGCAGGCUUAACACAUGCAAGUCGAGCGCCCCGCAAGGGGAGCGGCAGACGGGUGAGUAACACGUGGGAACGUGCCCUUCAGUUCGGAACAACCCAGGGAAACUUGGGCUAAUACCGGAUACGUCCGAAAGGAGAAAGAUUUAUCGCUGAAGGAUCGGCCCGCGUCUGAUUAGCUAGUUGGUGGGGUAAUGGCCCACCAAGGCUACGAUCAGUAGCUGGUCUGAGAGGAUGAUCAGCCACAUUGGGACUGAGACACGGCCCAAACUCCUACGGGAGGCAGCAGUGGGGAAUAUUGGACAAUGGGCGCAAGCCUGAUCCAGCCAUGGCCGCGUGAGUGAUGAAGGCCCUAGGGUUGUAAAGCUCUUUUAGCGGGGAAGAUAAUGACGGUACCCGCAGAAAAAGCCCCGGCUAACUUCGUGCCAGCAGCCGCGGUAAUACGAAGGGGGCUAGCGUUGCUCGGAAUCACUGGGCGUAAAGCGCACGUAGGCGGCUUCUUAAGUCAGGGGUGAAAUCCUGGAGCUCAACUCCAGAACUGCCUUUGAUACUGGGGAGCUCGAGUCCGGGAGAGGUGAGUGGAACUGCGAGUGUAGAGGUGAAAUUCGUAGAUAUUCGCAAGAACACCAGUGGCGAAGGCGGCUCACUGGCCCGGUACUGACGCUG